rnacentral:rRNA from 1 species
AUUGAACGCUGGCGGCAGGCCUAACACAUGCAAGUCGAGCGAGCGGCGGACGGGUGAGUAAUGUAUGGGGACUGCCCGAUAGAGGGGGAUAACUACUGGAAACGGUGGCUAAUACCGCAUACUAUCGGAUAACCCAUAUGGGAUUAGCUAGGAGGUGGGGUAAAGGCUCACCUAGGCGACGAUCGCUAGCUGGUCUGAGAGGAUGAUUAGCCACACUGGGACUGAGACACGUCCCUGACUCCUAUGGAGGCAGCAGUGGGGAAUAUUGCACAAUGGGUGCAAGCCUGAUGCAGCCAUGCCGCGUGUAUGAAGAAGGCCUUCGGGUUGUAAAGUACUUUCAGCGGGGAGGCGUUACCGACAUAAGAAGCACCGGCUAACUCCGUGCCAGCAGCCGCGGUAAUUC